CAACAAUGCGCUGCAGGCGUGAAGCGACCAAAAUUGAUGCUGACAAAAAAAAAAUGGAAAAUUCGUGAUUGCGUCAACUCAAAGAGAAUAUACAGCCAGCUGCGAAACUUCGUCUACAAGCACCAUGAGUCAAAUAAUACACAAGAAAGAAAACAUACCUAAGAACAUAUCAUCAACUUUAUUGCAGCCAGAAUAUUUUCUACCAACAUUUCAAUCAACUGCUACUCAAACCAACUUUUUAAACA